rnacentral:rRNA from 1 species
AUUGAACGCUGGCGGCAGGCCUAACACAUGCAAGUCGAGCGGAUGAAGGGAGCUUGCACCUGGCUUCAGCGGCGGACGGGUGAGUGAUGCCUAGGAAUCUGCCUGGUAGUGGGGGAUAACGUCCGGAAACGGGCGCUAAUACCGCAUACGUCCUGAGGGAGAAAGUGGGGGAUCUUCGGACCUCACGCUAUCAGAUGAGCCUAGGUCGGAUUAGCUAGUUGGUGGGGUAAAGGCCUACCAAGGCGACGAUCCGUAACUGGUCUGAGAGGAUGAUCAGUCACACUGGAACUGAGACACGGUCCAGACUCCUACGGGAGGCAGCAGUGGGGAAUAUUGGACAAUGGGCGAAAGCCUGAUCCAGCCAUGCCGCGUGUGUGAAGAAGGUCUUCGGAUUGUAAAGCACUUUAAGUUGGGAGGAAGGGCAGUAAGUUAAUACCUUGCUGUUUUGACGUUACCAACAGAAUAAGCACCGGCUAACUACGUG